CUGAAAGUUUCCAGAACAAAGGCCUUCUCUGCUCCUCCUGAUUUUGUCAGUGGCAAACAAAACAUUGGGCAGUGGACUGUCACACAGAAAUGAAGGUGGGCAUGGGACUUCUGCGAACUGGAAAGAACCCUGACAACUGCAGAGGUCAAGGCUCAGCCCCCUCCUUCUAUCCUUCGACAGCCAAGACCGCAGAGGCAGGUGGGGAGCAGGGGAGGCAGAACUGGGCAUCAGGGUGAGGAGUCCACCUGCAUCAGUGUUCCCUUUUAAGGAAAGGCAGUCCCUGGCAGCUCCACACUCCAAACUCGCCAGUGAUAACCCCCAGGCAGCUUAUUAGACCCUUUCCUACUCCAAAAGGAGCUCCUGUUAACUUUUGAAGAAGCAGGGAUGUCACCACUCCCUGGAAGGCGGUGAAAAGUGCAGGGGUUUGCUGAUGUCUGCGCAUUUCAGCAAGAAACAAAGAAUAAAACAGAAGUGUCUGCUUCUGAGAGAGACUCUGGGAGACCCUCGGAGAUGUGCAGCGUUACAGUGGCCCUGUGCAACAUGCAAAGGUGGACCCCAGCCCCGCCCCGGUCCCUGGGGUAUUGUAUUAAAGGGCAGUCAGCAGGGACACUGGUCCCCUCAUGUGAGGGCCGCAGACAGGCUCCUUUGGGCAGCCUGGUAGACAGUAGACAUGAGACUGGAGUGGGGAGUUGGGAGGGAGGAACACGGCAGCAGGAAGACUCAGCCGUGGAGGUCAUGGAGGGUGAUGAGGCAAGGACUCUGGAUCCCCAUGGAAGAUGCUGGGCCUGGAAACAGGUUCCAUGUGAGUGUGAAGAGCUCCAUAUGUACAAUGAAAAUCCAGUCUUUACUUUUCUACGUGAAAUCAAAUUUAGCUAAAGGUUCAUUGGCUUGGCUAACAGGAUGGCCCAGUCAGUCGCUUUUAGGAGACUGUCUCCAGGUGAAAGCAUUGUCCCUCCAGGUACCAAAAUGUCCCACAUGGAAUCUGUGAGUAAAGGAGGCAGAUGGUUUUGGGUAAGUUGGUAGGUAUAAUUUUAACCAUCACCACUACCACCCCUUGGGUCCCUAGCCAAGUGUAUUCUGGGAGUAUCCCUAAGGGAGAACCAGCAACGCUGGGGAGAGCAUAUGCUGCAUCCCUGCACGGUGCUUCUCCAGCUGGCGUAGGAUUGGCUGCCAACAGACCAUCCCUCCCUUCUCCUGAGCUGCCUGCUUCUGGUGUUGGGAUACCUAAUAAGGUCAGGGAGUCUCAUGCGUGUAAGCCCACGGCCUGGGUUUUCUCUGUAAAGUGGGCUCCGUGGUCAGAAGACAUGUCGUGGGGGAGAACAUAAGCUGUCCAGCAAGUCCGUAGAGAGAGUGGUGGCGACAGCAUGACGACAGCAGGGGAGCCACAUCCAAAUCCGGAGCAAGUACUUGUUACAAAGGCAACGGUCACCCUUUCCCUGAUGCAGAAGUUCCAGGGCCAUCAGCCCGCCACCUGGCAGUGGGCUCCAUGCCCAGAGUCCCUCACUGCACUAAACAUCCCUGCCAGUCACCCUGUCCAUCAGGUUACAAUCCUAGGAGUUCUCAUUUCAUUUAGUCCUUACCACUGUUCAUAUGUCCUAUUUUAAGGAUAAAAAAAUGGAGGAACAGAGAGACUGAGUAACUUGCUUGAGGUCACACAGCUAGGAAGGGGUGAAGCCAACAUUGGAAGCAGGCACUCUGGGUCCAGAGUAUAGUUCUUAAUGUCCACCUUUGGUCUCAUGGUACAUCAAGUAUGUUUGGGGCUGGCUCCCACCCCCAUGCCCCUUGUGUGUGUAGAGAGAGGGGGCAUUUGGCACUCACUCCCCAGGGCCACAGCUAAUUAUCCUGGGGAGGGUACCUGACAGGGCAGGCCUGAAACCUGCAAUCUGGUGGCCUGGUGGGAAAAGUGAAUUGCGCUGACCUAGUUUCUCUCCUGGAGAAGGCUCUGGCACCCCACUCCAGUACUCUUGCCUGGAAACUCCCAUGGACGGAGGAGCCUGGUAGGCUGCAGUCCAUGGGGUCGCUAAGAGUUGGAUACGACUGAGCGACUUCACUUUCACUUUUCACUUUCAUGCAUUGAAGAAGGAAAUGACAACCCACUCCAGUGUUCUUGCCUGGAGAAUCCCAGGGACGGGGGAGCCUGGUGGGCUGCCGUCUAUGGGGUCGCACAGAGUCGGACACGACUGAAGCGAUGCAGCAGCAGCAGCAGCAGCAGCAGCAGCAGUUUCUCUCCUGGGAAUUUGAAACAGGGAAUGGGGCGUUGAUUUUGGAAGCUGAGGGGGCCCUCCUCCUUGCCCCUCCUGAGACUGUCCCUGGGCCCCAUGGUCUGGGGCCUGUCCUUAAUCUCCCUUUCCUGAGGUAACUUAGACUCUGUCCUUGAUACCCAAAUGAUUCAGCUCAGUAAUUUACUUUCUUUUAAGAAUUUAUUCAGAUCAGUUGAAAAGUGAAUAAAAAUACCUCAGUAAUGCUAGGUGAGCAUUGACCUUCUAGUUUUUCCCCUUUUCAAUUAAACAAUAUGCAGAGGGGCUUCCCUGGUGGCCCAGUGGCUAAGAAUCUGCCUUGCAACAUAGGGGCCACCGGCUCGAUCCCUGGUCCUGGAAGAUCCCACAUGCUGCAGAGCAAAUAAGCCCGUGGACCACGACUACCGAGCCUGCCCAUCACAACAAAGAAUAGCUUCCACUUGCUGCAACUAGAGAAAGCCUGCUCACAGCAAGAGACCAGCACAGCCCCAAAUAAAUAAAUAUAUAUUUUUAAAUGCAAAAAUAUAUAGGGUGAUGUGUAAUGGCAACAUUCACAAGUGAAAGCUCAGGAGUCAGACCUCAGCCAGCACUAGCAGGAGGGGGAAAUGCUGAGAGCAUCCUUAACCUGCAGGGUCCGUCUCAAGGCCACAAUAGGAUGGGGACACAGAUGUGGGAGCGAGGUUUCCACAGAGGAGAAAGAUGGCUAACUCAGCAUGAGACGUGACUUCCUAGGCAGCAGGCAUUUUGCAGAAUAUUCUAGAAGACAUACCUCCUCAACUUUUGUGCCAUGAAGAGUGGAGACAGCUAGAGCCAGAGAGGGGAGCUGGGGGGGAGGUCGACGUGGUCUCAGCAUCCAUCUCUCUGCUGAUGCCAGGGUUGAUCCUGCUGACGUGUGUGGGGACACAUUCCGUGUCUCCACAGUGUUACAACAGAAAUGGAAAAUGGGGUUUUUUUUCUGCUAACAUUCAAGAGAAACAAACGAAAGAGAACAUGGCUCUAAAACCCCCCAAGAACAGGCCUGUAAGAGUGAAGCAAUCCUGGCUUUACUUUAGCUGUUUCUCAUCUAUGGCACACAUAACUAGACUUGUCCUUCACAAAGUUGCUUUGUUAAUCACUCUCUAAUCACUCAGUGAAUUCUGUCCUGCACCUGGCAUUAUUCCCCCUGCCCCACUCCCUCGUAGCAUUUUCAUUUCAGAAAGAAGGCCACAGGCAGAUAACUUUGGAAAGGACCAGCCCCAGUUACCAAUGGCCUAAUGCCAGCUGUAGCCAUUUUGAAAUCUUGCAGAAGAAAGAAGAAUGCAAGCCAUCCCUGCUCUGAGCCUUAUCUCCUACCCCAGAACUAUGAGCCCUGACUAUAAGACCCGUCCCUGUUCUCCAGGGAUGGGGGCACUGUUCCUGAGGCACUAAACUGCUGUGUUCCCUCUUUGCUUGGCAAAGAAUAAAACUAGUCUUUCUCUUUACUCCC
ensembl:lncRNA